rnacentral:rRNA from 1 species
CCAGAGAAUUUAGCAGAGAUGCUUUAGUGCCUUCGGGAACUCUGAGACAGGUGCUGCAUGGCUGUCGUCAGCUCGUGUUGUGAAAUGUUGGGUUAAGUCCCGCAACGAGCGCAACCCUUAUCCAUUGUUGCCAGCACGUAAUGGUGGGAACUCAAAGGAGACUGCCGGUGAUAAACCGGAGGAAGGUGGGGAUGACGUCAAGUCAUCAUGGCCCUUACGAGUAGGGCUACACACGUGCUACAAUGGCGCAUACAAAGAGAAGCGACCUCGCGAGAGCAAGCGGACCUCAUAAAGUGCGUCGUAGUCCGGAUUGGAGUCUGCAACUCGACUCCAUGAAGUCGGAAUCGCUAGUAAUCGUAAAUCAGAAUGUUACGGUGAAUACGUUCCCGGGCCUUGUACACACCGCCCGUCACACCAUGGGAGUGGGUUGCAAAAGAAGUAGAUAGCUUAACCUUCGGGAGGGCGUUUACCACUUUGUGAUUCAUGACUGGGGUGAAGUCGUAACAAGGUAAGCGUAGUGCU